GCCUCAGUCAACACGAUAGCUCAGUUGGUGGAGCAUGAGACUCUUAAUAUCAAGGUUGUGGGUUCAAGCUCACGUUGGGCA